AUCUUCGGACCUUGCGCUAAUAGAUGAGCCUAAGUCGGAUUAGCUAGUUGGUGGGGUAAAGGCCUACCAAGGCGACGAUCUGUAGCGGGUCUGAGAGGAUGAUCCGCCACACUGGGACUGAGACACGGCCCAGACUCCUACGGGAGGCAGCAGUGGGGAAUAUUGGACAAUGGGCGGAAGCCUGAUCCAGCCAUGCCGCGUGUGUGAAGAAGGCCUUAUGGUUGUAAAGCACUUUAAGCGAGGAGGAGGCUACUUUAGUUAAUACCUAGAGAUAGUGGACGUUACUCGCAGAAUAAGCACCGGCUAACUCUGUGCCAGCAGCCGCGGUAAUACAGAGGGUGCAAGCGUUAAUCGGAUUUACUGGGCGUAAAGCGCGCGUAGGCGGCUAAUUAAGUCAAAUGUGAAAUCCCCGAGCUUAACUUGGGAAUUGCAUUCGAUACUGGUUAGCUAGAGUGUGGGAGAGGAUGGUAGAAUUCCAGGUGUAGCGGUGAAAUGCGUAGAGAUCUGGAGGAAUACCGAUGGCGAAGGCAGCCAUCUGGCCUAACACUGACGCUGA
rnacentral:rRNA from 1 species